rnacentral:tRNA from 1 species
GCGGAGGUGGCGGAACUGGUAGACGCGUACGUUUGAGGGGCGUAUGGUUAUGCCGUGAGGGUUCGAGUCCCUCCCUCCGCA